GUGGGGAAUCUUCCACAAUGGACGAAAGUCUGAUGGAGCAACGCCGCGUGAGUGAAGAAGGGUUUCGGCUCGUAAAGCUCUGUUGUCGGGGACGAAUGUGCAGUAUUUGAAUAAAGUAGUGCAAUGACGGUACCUGACGAGGAAGCCACGGCUAACUACGUGCCAGCAGCCGCGGUAAUACGUAGGUGGCAAGCGUUGUCCGGAAUUAUUGGGCGUAAAGGGAGCGCAGGCGGGAAGGUAAGUCGGUCUUAAAAGUGCGGGGCUCAACCCCGUGAUGGGAUCGAAACUAUCUUUCUUGAGUGCAGGAGAGGAAAGUGGAAUUCCUAGUGUAGCGGUGAAAUGCGUAGAUAUUAGGAAGAACACCAGUGGCGAAGGCGACUUUCUGGACGAAAACUGACGCUGAGGCGCGAAAGCCAGGGGAGCGAACGGGAUUAGAUACCCGGGUAGUCC
rnacentral:rRNA from 1 species